rnacentral:rRNA from 1 species
GAUGAACGCUGGCGGCGUGCCUAAUACAUGCAAGUCGAGCGAACAGAUAAGGAGCUUGCUCCUUUGACGUUAGCGGCGGACGGGUGAGUAACACGUGGGUAACCUACCUAUAAGACUGGGAUAACUUCGUGAAACCGGAGCUAAUACCGGAUAACAUUUGGAACCGCAUGGUUCUAAAGUGAAAGAUGGUUUUGCUAUCACUUAUAGAUGGACCCGCGCCGUAUUAGCUAGUUGGUAAGGUAACGGCUUACCAAGGCGACGAUACGUAGCCGACCUGAGAGGGUGAUCGGCCACACUGGAACUGAGACACGGUCCAGACUCCUACGGGAGGCAGCAGUAGGGAAUCUUCCGCAAUGGGCGAAAGCCUGACGGAGCAACGCCGCGUGAGUGAUGAAGGGUUUCGGCUCGUAAAACUCUGUUAUUAGGGAAGAACAAACGUGUAAGUAACUGUGCACGUCUUGACGGUACCUAAUCAGAAAGCCACGGCUAACUACGUG